rnacentral:rRNA from 1 species
AACGAACGCUGGCAGCGCGCCUAAUACAUGCAAGUCGAACGAGAAGCUGUAGCAAUACAGUUGUACAGUGGCGAACGGGUGAGGAAUACAUGGGUGACCUACCCUCGAGUGGGGAAUAACCAGCCGAAAGGUUGGCUAAUACCGCGUACGCUUCCCAGUCUACGGGUUGGGAAGGAAAGCGAUGCCGUGGGUAUCGCGCUCAAGGUUGGGCUCAUGUCCUAUCAGCUUGUUGGUGGGGUAACGGCUCACCAAGGCAACGGCGGGUAGCUGGUCUGAGAGGACGAUCAGCCACACUGGCACUGCGACACGGGCCAGACUCCUACGGGAGGCAGCAGUAAGGAAUAUUGCGCAAUGGGCGAAAGCCUGACGCAGCGACGCCGGCGUGGGGGA